GGUAACGUUGGCAAAUUACUUCGCUGAAUCAUUACUAUGAAACAUUAUUACUUGAUCAGAACAAAUUGUGUUGGUUAAAGAAAUAUUAAAAACGAACGAAGCCGGAUUUUAUUGUGAGAUUGAACAAGAUUUCGACGUUUUCAAAAAUACGUACAAGACUCUGAAGUAUACGAAACAACAAGGCUCGUCACUGAUUGGCUAUAGCAUGUUCCUUCUUCCUUUUCAAGAAUAGUAUUUAAAAUGCCGUUGUUGUGAUGUUAGGACAAUUCGUUUUGCUGACGUUAAAACCUAAAGAUGAAAGUACUUCUGUUUGGAUCUUUGGCAGUGUUGCUGGUCUGGUCCUCCAUGGCCAUGUCCAUAGAUGAAUCCAUUGACGAGGAAGUUGCAGAUGCCCUUGAUGCUCGAGAUCUUGUAAGAGCAGAAAUAGGGAUAUACACAACUGCGUUAACUAGCUUAACGAAACACCCGCAAAUGUGAAAGAAGACUGCGAACUUAAGUGUCAGAAUGCAAAUGAAAAAGAAAUAGUAAAUUGUCUUGCGCUCUGUGUGAUCGGAGACGCCAUGGAAAUGGCGGGGUCUACACCAGCACCAAAUGGGUCACCUCAAAAGCGUAAAAUCAAAAUCAAUUGGCGGGAGGUUGGAAGGGUGGUAAUCGCCAUUAUUAAAGAACUCAUAAAUUAGCAGCAAUCAUUAUCGUGUUCGAAUAUUAAUCUUAAAACCAGCAUCAAAAUAUCACAAAAACUCUAAAGGGACUUAUUUGCAGAACAUUAUGUGUGUUAGAAAUUUCAUAAUAUGUCAUAAUUUCAAAACUAUAAUAAACAUACUUACAACCUAAAUAUUGUCUGACAAAAAUUGAAAUAAUAAGUAAAAUACC